UGCCUAACACAUGCAAGUCGAGCGAACCGCAUGGGGCAACUCAGGCGGUUAGCGGCGGACGGGUGAGUAACACGUGGGUGACCCACCUGGGGGACCGGGAUAACAUCUCGAAAGGGGUGCUAAUACCGGAUACGUUCCCUGGGGCAUAAGCCUCGGGGAGGAAAGGCAGCGCAAGCAGCCACUCCCAGACGGGCCCGCGGCCCAUUAGCUAGUUGGCGGGGUAACGGCCCACCAAGGCGAUGAUGGGUAGCCGGUCUGAGAGGAUGAUCGGCCACACGGGGACUGAGACACGGCCCCGACUCCUACGGGAGGCAGCAGUGGGGAAUCUUCCGCAAUGGGCGAAAGCCUGACGGAGCGACGCCGCGUGGGGGACGAAGGCCUUCGGGUCGUAAACCCC
rnacentral:rRNA from 1 species